CGGACGGGUGAGUAACGCGUGGAAAACCUGCCGUAUACUGGGGGAUAACACUUAGAAAUAGGUGCUAAUACCGCAUAAGCGCACAGCUUCGCAUGAAGCGGUGUGAAAAACUCUGGUGGUAUACGAUGGUUCCNCGUCUGAUUAGCUAGUUGGUGGGGUAAUGGCCUACCAAGGCAACAAUCAGUAGCCGGCCUGAGAGGGUGAACGGCCACAUUGGGACUGAGACACGGCCCAAACUCCUACGGAAGGCAGCAG
rnacentral:rRNA from 1 species